GGCUAAACCAUGCACCGAAGCUGCGGCAGCGACACUAUGUGUUGUUGGGUAGGGGAGCGUUCUGUAAGCCUGUGAAGGUGUGCUGUGAGGCAUGCUGGAGGUAUCAGAAGUGCGAAUGCUGACAUAAGUAACGAUAAAGCGGGUGAAAAGCCCGCUCGCCGGAAGACCAAGGGUUCCUGUCCAACGUUAAUCGGGGCAGGGUGAGUCGACCCCUAAGGCGAGGCCGAAAGGCGUAGUCGAUGGGAAACAGGUUAAUAUUCCUGUACUUGGUGUUACUGCGAAGGGGGGACGGAGAAGGCUAUGUUGGCCGGGCGACGGUUGUCCCGGUUUAAGCGUGUAGGCUGAUUUUCCAGGCAAAUCCGGAAAAUCAAGGCUGAGGCGUGAUGACGAGGCACUACGGUGCUGAAGCAACAAAUGCCCUGCUUCCAGGAAAAGCCUCUAAGCAUCAGGUAACAUCAAAUCGUACCCCAAACCGACACAGGUGGUCAGGUAGAGAAUACCAAGGCGCUUGAGAGAACUCGGGUGAAGGAACUAGGCAAAAUGGUGCCGUAACUUCGGGAGAAGGCACGCUGAUAUGUAGGUGAAGCGACUUGCUCGUGGAGCUGAAAUCAGUCGAAGAUACCAGCUGGCUGCAACUGUUUAUUAAAAACACAGCACUGUGCAAACACGAAAGUGGACGUAUACGGUGUGACGCCUGCCCGGUGCCGGAAGGUUAAUUGAUGGGGUUAGCGGUAACGCGAAGCUCUUGAUCGAAGCCCCGGUAAACGGCGGCCGUAACUAUAACGGUCCUAAGGUAGCGAAAUUCCUUGUCGGGUAAGUUCCGACCUGCACGAAUGGCGUAAUGAUGGCCAGGCUGUCUCCACCCGAGACUCAGUGAAAUUGAACUCGCUGUGAAGAUGCAGUGUACCCGCGGCAAGACGGAAAGACCCCGUGAACCUUUACUAUAGCUUGACACUGAACAUUGAGCCUUGAUGUGUAGGAUAGGUGGGAGGCUUUGAAGUGUGGACGCCAGUCUGCAUGGAGCCGACCUUGAAAUACCACCCUUUAAUGUUUGAUGUUCUAACGUUGGCCCGUUAUCCGGGUUGCGGACAGUGUCUGGUGGGUAGUUUGACUGGGGCGGUCUCCUCCUAAAGAGUAACGGAGGAGCACGAAGGUUGGCUAAUCCUGGUCGGACAUCAGGAGGUUAGUGCAAUGGCAUAAGCCAGCUUGACUGCGAGCGUGACGGCGCGAGCAGGUGCGAAAGCAGGUCAUAGUGAUCCGGUGGUUCUGAAUGGAAGGGCCAUCGCUCAACGGAUAAAAGGUACUCCGGGGAUAACAGGCUGAUACCGCCCAAGAGUUCAUAUCGACGGCGGUGUUUGGCACCUCGAUGUCGGCUCAUCACAUCCUGGGGCUGAAGUAGGUCCCAAGGGUAUGGCUGUUCGCCAUUUAAAGUGGUACGCGAGCUGGGUUUAGAACGUCGUGAGACAGUUCGGUCCCUAUCUGCCGUGGGCGCUGGAGAACUGAGGGGGGCUGCUCCUAGUACGAGAGGACCGGAGUGGACGCAUCACUGGUGUUCGGGUUGUCAUGCCAAUGGCACUGCCCGGUAGCUAAAUGCGGAAGAGAUAAGUGCUGAAAGCAUCUAAGCACGAAACUUGCCCCG
rnacentral:rRNA from 1 species